UUUACAAUGAUGAGUUACAGAUCAAGUUCAAGUUUCGUUCUGCUCCACUAAUUUUUGCCGAAAUUACAGGCUUUGGACUUUGAGAAAUUGUUGAAAAUCAGUUAUACAGACUUUUUUCUUAACGCUUUCAGAUAUUGGGCUGAUUUUUAUGCCCCACCUACGAUAGUAGAGGGGCAUUAUGUUUUCUGGUCUGUGCGUCCGUUCGUCCGUUAGUCGUACCGUCCGUCUGUCCCGCUUCAGGUUAAAGUUUUUGGUCAAGGUAGUUUUUGAUGAAGUUGAAGUCCAAUCCACUUCAAACUUAGUACUACAUGUUCCCUAUGAUAUGAUCUUUUUAAUUUUAAUGCCAAAUUAGAGGGUUUACCCCAAUUUCACGGUCCACUGAACAUAGAAAAUGAUAGUGCGAGUGGGGCUUUGGUAUGUGAGUUAACCAUGAUGAGUUAUAGGGCAAUCUUAAGUUUUGUUCCACUCCGCUUAUUUUUGCUGAAAUUAAGGGCUUUGGACUUUGAUAAAUUUUUGAAAAUCAGUUAUACAGAAUUUUUGUCUAUUCCCCUCCAGAUUUUGAGUUGAUUUUUGAUAUGUGAUUUUGAGCUGAUUUUUGAUAUGUGAGACUACCAUCAUGUUUGUCUCCACAUGUGUUUAUAUUGAAAUUGCAGAUUUUUCAACUUUUUGGGACGGGGCCAUUAGUGUCUCUUUGGCACAUCUAGUUUUACCUAGAGCUCUGUUAAAAAAAGUGAUAAAAUAACAAAAAAUAAUAUGAAAACAAAAUUGAAAAAAAAUAAUUUAAAAAAAUAUAUAAAAAUAAAAUGUCCCAAAAAAUUUUGGGUUUACAACUUUUGAAAAUUGUUGAAAAUCACAAUUGUAC
rnacentral:lncRNA from 1 species